AGAGAAGUGUAGCCAUGUGACUUGUUUCAACCAAUAAAAUACUACUUCUAGGCAGAAGCUCUAAUCCAGGUAAGACUCAUCCUGCUCUCUGUCCCUCUGUCCAAGUGGCCAGGAAUGUUCUAGUGAGUCAGUGUGGGUCCUACAGUAGGAAAGCAGAUAUGCAAUGGGAUAUGUGGAGUGAACCAGCAAUACACCUUGGUUGCUUUAAGCCUCUGAGCCAAUGUUCAUAUCCAACCCCUCCUCCUAUUACCCACUUUAGAUGACAGGAGUUGUGUCACCAGUAAAGCAGAAGGGGUCAGGGGCACCACUGUCAGCAGAGCACCUGUGCUAUAAGGCCUCACUCAGUAGCUCUGCUGUGGACCAGGCUGUUCAGUAUACUAAUCAAUUUUAAUCAUCUCCAGAGGAAAGCAUCGCCCAAAUUAGAAAGGAGGAAAUCCACCUCAUAUUGAGACCUCAAAAGUCACUCUGUGACCUUUCUGGGCCCCACGUUUCCUCAUCUGUAAAAUGGAGUGAUUAUCAUCUACCACACUGUUGCUGCAAGGAUUUGACAAGCUAAGUACAAGUAAAGCUAGGGUAGAGCUUGUUGUCUCAGUAAACACUAAACUCACCAUUACUGUGCUCGCCAGCUUUCUAUAUAACUGCUGCAAGCUUGUCCAUGCCUCUACUGGAUUUUAAGAGGGUCAACCGCUGAGCACACGCGGCCUAGAGUGAGGCCUCAGGAAGAACUCUGAAACUCAGCGCUCCAGACACAUAGGCCUCCUAGCCGGGCGCGGGCUCCUAGCGAGGUCUCAGCAGGUAGCUGACCACUCCCACCCACGCCCAAAGGCACAGCCCGGAGCGCAGACCCCUGCCGUGGGCGCAGCUGCCUGGAUUUCAACCCGUCCUCGUUCUCCGCCCGGCUCCGGAAGCGCGCAGCCCGCAACACCGGUAGACACUGCUCAGAGGGCCGGCUUCGGUCCGGGCCGGCUUCGGUCCGGGCGGUCUGGGCGUCGAAGUCACGAGCGCGAGCACACACACACGCACACACACGUUUCCUAAUCUCUGCACCCAGCGGGUAACCUCUCGGGGACGGGGCUGAAAGGAGCAACAAGAGCAGACCCGACUCCCCGGCCCCAAACGCCACGGGACCAAGGCUCGGGCAGGUCAGGGUCACAGGACAGGGGCCGCCGCCUCCUCGACCUCGCGCGGCCCCAAGCCCGAGCCGAAGAGUGGGGCGCACCCAGGCGG
rnacentral:lncRNA from 1 species